rnacentral:rRNA from 1 species
UACGAAGGGGGCUAGCGUUGCUCGGAAUCACUGGGCGUAAAGCGCACGUAGGCGGAUCUUUAAGUCAGGGGUGAAAUCCUGGAGCUCAACUCCAGAACUGCCUUUGAUACUGAGAAGCUUGAGUCCGGGAGAGGUGAGUGGAACUGCGAGUGUAGAGGUGAAAUUCGUAGAUAUUCGCAAGAACACCAGUGGCGAAGGCGGCUUACUGGCCCGGUACUGACGCUGAGGUGCGAAAGCGUGGGGAGCAAACAGG